rnacentral:rRNA from 1 species
CUACGGGUGGCUCCAGUGGGGAAUAUUGCACAAUGGAGGAAACUCUGAUGCAGCAACGCCGCGUGGAGGAUGACACUUUUCGGAGCGUAAACUCCUUUUGUAUAGGAAGAAGAUGACGGUACUAUAUGAAUAAGCGCCGGCUAACUCCGUGCCAGCAGCCGCGGUAAUACGGAGGGCGCAAGCGUUACUCGGAAUCACUGGGCGUAAAGAGCGUGUAGGCGGAUUAAAAAGUCAGAAGUGAGAUCCUAUAGCUUAACUAUAGAACUGCUUCUGAAACUCUUAAUCUAGAAUAUGGGAGAGGUAGAUGGAAUUUCUGGUGUAGGGGUAAAAUCCGUAGAGAUCAGAAGGAAUACCGAUUGCGAAGGCGAUCUACUAGAACAUUAUUGACGCUGAGACGCGAAAGCGUGGGGAGCAAACAGGAUUAGAUACCCUUGUAGUC